CCUACGGGAGGCAGCAGUGAGGAAUAUUGGUCAAUGGGCGUAAGCCUGAACCAGCCAAGUCGCGUGAGGGAUGAAGGUUCUAUGGAUCGUAAACCUCUUUUAUAAGGGCAUAACGUGCGGGACGUGUCCCGUUUUGUAUGUACCUUAUGAAUAAGCCUCGGCUAACUCCGUGCCAGCAGCCGCGGUAAUACGGAGGAUCCGAGCGUUAUCCGGAUUUAUUGGGUGUAAAGGGUGUGUAGGCGGGAUUUUAAGUCAGCGGUGAAAGUCAGUGGCUCAACCAGAGAAUUGCCGUUGAAACUGGGAGGCUUGAGUAUGUUUGAGGCAGGCGGAAUGCGUGGUGUAGCGGUGAAAUGCGUAGAUAUCACGCAGAACCCCGAUGGCGAAGGCAGCCUGCCAGGCCAUGACUGACGCUGAGGCACGAAAGCGUGGGGAUCAAACAGGAUUAGAUACCCUUGUAGUC
rnacentral:rRNA from 1 species